GUCAGUUGGAGUUUGGCUGGUCUAGGCUGGGUGCAGCUGGUGCUCAGUUUGCUGCACCUGUCUUCUCCUCUUCCUGGAAUAGCAGGAAAGCCCAGUCACGGCUUCCUGUGGCCACAGAAGAGGCACAAAGGAGCCACCUGAGAACAAUUUACCAAGCUGCAUUUUCAAAAGCUCCCCCAGACUGCUGCAAAGAGACUCAGCUGGAGGGGAGAAAACUUGAAACUCCAGGAAACCCUGACCCUGUGGAUGGCCCUGUCAAUCUGCAUGUCUCAUGCUGGGACAGAGGUUAGGACUCCUAGGACAUGAAGUGGUAACUCAUCAUUAUCACCAUCACACAGCAGCUGGAACCAGCAGCCUCACCAGGCCUUUCUCCUUUAAUAAUGACAAACAUGGUGUGCAGUCUGGGCCACUUAAUCCUGUUCUGCAGAUGGGGACUCUGAGACAUAAAGAGGUAAAGAUCAUGCAGGUGACAAAGCUAGCUGAAGAUUAGUAUUAUGAGACAUGAGAAUAGUAACUGAAGGGUUGAUUUGUAAAUGUGAAAAAUUGGAAAUCAGCCUUGAUUUCCAACAAUAGGGUAUUGAUGUGUAAUACAACCACACAGUAGGGUAUUGUACAGCGACUAAGAAUGAUACAGCAGUAUUUGUUGACAUGGGAACAUUUUUCACAGUAUGCUUUAAAAAAAGAUAGAUAAGUGCUUAUUAAUAAUAUAGGUACAGGGACUCAAGUCAAAGUGGGGAUAUAUUCUAAACUCUGGCGACCAAUUUCCUAAACCAUGUAGUUUUUGCUAUAGAAAACAUCUAGCUGUGGGUCUGCUUGUAAUACUCAGUAUAUUACCUUAUUUCAUAUGCCAUUUAUUUCUUCUUUAUGAAAAUGGUGUCAUUCAUCUUUAUUAAUGUAGUUGAAAUUCAUGAACUUUCUGUGUGAAUCAUUUAAUCAAGAAAAAUGUGUUACGGGGAUAGAUUUUAUAUAAAUGAGAAUGAAAUGAAAUGUUUCAUUAAAAUAUGUAAAAGUUGCCCAGUAUAUCUUAAGGAGAAAUCGUAUGUGUAUAAUAUUAUUGUAUUUUUGUAAGAUAAAACAAAUGUUGUAAGACCUUAAAAAUAUUGUUAGGAGAAAAAAAUACAUGUAUGCAUAGAAAAAUGUCUAGAAGGAUAAAUGCUAAAAUGUUCAUCCUGGACCUCUGCAAGAUGGGGCUAUGGGUGAUUUUUUACCCCUUCCUUUAUUGUUCACCUGUAUUUUCUAAUUUUUCAAUAACGUUCAUGUGUUACUUAUUUAGAAAAGACAGGGGAUGAAUGUUUAAAGUGAUGGAUAUGGUAAUUACCCUGACUUGAUCAUGAUACAAUGUGUAUAUGCAUUGAAACAUCACACUGUACCCCAUAAACAUG